rnacentral:lncRNA from 1 species
UUGUGCCUAGGUCUACUCCACCUGGGACUAGAAGGAGGUCAGCGUGGCCAGCAGUAACCACCUUGUCCUCCUCCAUGCAAUUGUUGUGAGGAAAGGAAGAAAACUGUGACAAUGACAGGGGUUGGGGGUUGGGAAGUGUGAGAAGCUGAGAAAGGCAAGAAGCCAGAAAGGCCUGCCCUGGGGAGCAUGAAGGCUCUAUGAGCCUGCGUGGUGAAAAACAGU